rnacentral:rRNA from 1 species
GAUGAACGCUGGCGGCGUGCCUAAUACAUGCCAGUCGAGCGAACAGAUAAGGAGCUUGCUCCUUUGACGUUAGCGGCGGACGGGUGAGUUACACGUGGAUAACCUGCCUAUAAGACUGGGAUAACUUCGGGAAACCGGAGCUAAUACCGGAUAACAUAUUGAACCGCAUGGUUCAAUAGUGAAAGGCGGCUUUGCUGUCACUUAUAGAUGGAUCCGCGCCGUAUUAGCUAGUUGGUAAGGUAACGGCUUACCAAGGCAACGAUACGUAGCCGACCUGAGAGGGUGAUCGGCCACACUGGAACUGAGACACGGUCCAGACUCCUACGGGAGGCAGCAGUAGGGAAUCUUCCGCAAUGGGCGAAAGCCUGACGGAGCAACGCCGCGUGAGUGAUGAAGGUCUUCGGAUCGUAAAACUCUGUUAUCAGGGAAGAACAAAUGUGUAAGUAACUGUGCACAUCUUGACGGUACCUGAUCAGAAAGCCACGGCUAACUACGUG